GACGAACGCUGGCGGCGUGCUUAACACAUGCAAGUCGAACGGAAAGGCCCUGCUUUUGUGGGGUGCUCGAGUGGCGAACGGGUGAGUAACACGUGAGUAACCUGCCCUUGACUUUGGGAUAACUUCAGGAAACUGGGGCUAAUACCGGAUAGGAGCUCCUGCUGCAUGGUGGGGGUUGGAAAGUUUCGGCGGUUGGGGAUGGACUCGCGGCUUAUCAGCUUGUUGGUGGGGUAGUGGCUUACCAAGGCUUUGACGGGUAGCCAGCCUGAGAGGGUGACCGGCCACAUUGGGACUGAGAUACGGCCCAGACUCCUACGGGAGGCAGCAGUGGGGAAUAUUGCACAAUGGGCGGAAGCCUGAUGCAGCAACGCCGCGUGCGGGAUGACGGCCUUCGGCUUGUAAACCGCUUUCGCCUGUGACGAAGCGUGAGUGACGGUAAUGGGUAAAGAAGCACCGGCUAACUACGUG
rnacentral:rRNA from 1 species